rnacentral:rRNA from 1 species
UGGGGAAUCUUGCGCAAUGGCCGAAAGGCUGACGCAGCGACGCCGCGUGUGGGAGGAAGCUCUUCGGGGUGUAAACCACUGUUGCCCGGGACGAACACUUGGUUUCGACCAAGCUGACGGUACCGGGUGAGGAAGCACCGGCUAACUCUGUGCCAGCAGCCGCGGUAAUACAGAGGGUGCGAGCGUUGUCCGGAAUCACUGGGCGUAAAGGGCGCGUAGGUGGUGGCUUAAGCGUGCGGUGAAAGCUCGGGGCUCAACCCCGAGUCGGCCGUGCGAACUGGGCUCACUGGAGCAUAGUAGAGGCAGGUGGAAUUCCGGGUGUAGCGGUGGAAUGCGUAGAGAUCCGGAAGAACACCGGUGGCGAAGGCGGCCUGCUGGGCUAUGGCUGACACUGAGGCGCGACAGCGUGGGGAGCAAACAG